rnacentral:tRNA from 1 species
UCCCUGGUGGCUCAGAGGUUAAAGCGUCUGCCUGAAAUGCUGGAGACUCAGGUUCAAUCCCUGGGUCGGGAA